UUGAGACCUGGAUUAGAUCUGAUUCGUUUUUCGAUAUGAAAAGCAUAUGUUCUAAAUUUGGUUAUUCAAUUCAAAGUAUUGAAAGAUUAAAUAGAAGGGGCGGUGGACUCGUGACCAUUUCUAAUAUUCAUUCUUUUGUUGAAAGUUAUAGUUACGAGGAUCACUAUUUAUUUUAUUCUUCUAGAAAAAUGAGGAUUUGUUGUUGCCUAAUAUAUUUCUCACCGGCUAUUGUUCUGUCCAAUAAGAUUGACGUUAUAACUAAGUUAAAGAUUUAUUAAAAUAUAUAAAGACUUUUCCUAAUCAUAAAAUUAUUUUAAUUGGCGACUUUAAUUUACGUAACAUUACCUGGAUUGGAAAUACACCUAACUAUACGAC
rnacentral:lncRNA from 1 species